rnacentral:rRNA from 1 species
UGGGGAAUAUUGCACAAUGGGCGAAAGCCUGAUGCAGCAACGCCGCGUGAGUGAUGAAGGUCUUCGGAUUGUAAAGCUCUGUCUUUUGGGACGAUAAUGACGGUACCAAAGGAGGAAGCCACGGCUAACUACGUGCCAGCAGCCGCGGUAAUACGUAGGUGGCGAGCGUUGUCCGGAUUUACUGGGCGUAAAGGGCGCGUAGGCGGAUGUUUAAGUGAGAUGUGAAAUACCCGGGCUUAACUUGGGUGCUGCAUUUCAAACUGGAUAUCUAGAGUGCAGGAGAGGAGAAUGGAAUUCCUAGUGUAGCGGUGAAAUGCGUAGAGAUUAGGAAGAACGCCAGUGGCGAAGGCGAUUCUCUGGACUGUAACUGACGCUGAGGCACGAAAGCGUGGGUAGCAAACAGGAUUAGAUACCCUGGUAGUCCACGCCGUAAACGACGAGUACUAGGUGUAGGAGGUAUCGACCCCUUCUGUGC